UCUUUAUCCUUGAGAAUUAUUUGUAAAAACUCAGCUUUUUGAUGUCAUAAGUCUGUAAAUAAAGGCCCAAAACCUGGUGAGACAGGAGAUAAUAAAGAGGAGAUGAUAGAAGGAAGAAGAUGAUGCCAAGCUGGACCGAGAAAGUAACUGCGUGAAUCUCUCUUUCCCGUCCGCCACCACCCCUUCAGGGAGCCCUGGACCAGCAGAAGCAGGCCUCCGGCACAAAGCCCCCACACCUUCCAGGAUGGGAUAUGUGUGACACUCCUGGCUCCCCAAGAACAAAGGAAAAGGGAAAACAAAUGGUUAACUAAUAGAGAUCACAGUUCUACAGGACAAGAGUCUCCAUCAGUUUGCAACUGUCAUAAUGAUUUACAAGAAGAAAAGCAAUCUCCAGAAACCUAUAGUCUCAAUUUCCUGGAGCCCUAACAUCACACUCGCCUCCAUAGGAUGGAAAAUCUUAUAUAACCAGUCACUUAAACCCCAGUGCCCCUGGGUCCUGUCCCCUGCUAUAAUAAAAACACAGUUUUGCACCAAA